rnacentral:rRNA from 1 species
CUGGCUCAGGAUGAACGCUAGCGGCAGGCUUAACACAUGCAAGGUCGAGGGGCAACGCGAGUAGCAAUACUUGGCGGCGACCGGCGCAAGGGUGCGUAACGCGUGAGCAACAUGCCCGUAUCAGGGGGAUAAUCCAGGGAAACUUGGUCUAAUACCCCAUAGUAAUUUUGUAAGGCAUCUUAUAAGAUUUAAAGCUUUGGUGGAUACGGAUUGGCUCGCGUGACAUUAGCUGGAUGGUAAGGUAACGGCUUACCAUGGCUAUGAUGUCUAGGGGUUCUGAGAGGAAGGUCCCCCACACUGGAACUGAGACACGGUCCAGACUCCUACGGGAGGCAGCAGUGAGGAAUAUUGGACAAUGGAUGGAAAUCUGAUCCAGCCAUGCCGCGUGAAAGGAAGAAGGUCCUAUGGAUUGUAAACUUCUUUUGUAUGGGAGCAAUAAGGCCUACGAGUAGGUUGAUGAGAGUACCAUACGAAUAAGCACCGGCUAACUCCGUGCCAGCCGCAGC